UUCCCGGGUCUUGUACACACCGCCCGUCACACCACGAGAGUUUACAACACCCGAAGUCGGUGAGGUAACCGCAAGGAGCCAGCCGCCGAAGGUGGGGUAGAUGAUUGGGGUGAAGUCGUAACAAGGUAGCCGUAUCGGAAGGUGCGGCUGGAUCACCUCCUUUCUAUGGAGA
rnacentral:rRNA from 1 species